CGGAUUUGGGCUAGCACUGUUUUGAAACUCUUUUCAAUCCAUUUGACUUUCAAAAUGGACUUAGGAAGCUAAGGCUCUGUUUUUAAACUAUUGAAUUAAAAACAAACAGGCGAAAAAGAAAACAAACAAAAAACAGUGAAACACGGAGCCUUCCUCUUUCUGGUAUCUAAGAAAACACAGAGGACUGUUCAGAUCUGUCUGAAAAGACCAGCCGUGAGAGUGCUGCUCCAUGUCCUCUUGGGCUCCUAGGGGAACUCGGUGUCAUUUUCUGGCAUUAUUAUGCAUGUUGAAAACAAGCUGGAAGAGGCUGUAGCUUCAAGUUGCUGAAUCUUUGAAAAAUGCAGGCAAGAACUUCAGUCUUUGAAGUCAUUUUCCCUUUGGGAGGGCUUCCUAUUGACUGGAUGUCACUGAAAGCCAGAAGGCACAAGAUCCUACUGAUGUAAUCCAUGCAGGUUAGCCUCACAGGGCCAGACAGGAGAAGGGAGAUGAAUCAAGUGUGCCUUGGGAAGAGCAAAUAGAAGAUCAGCAGCACCUGCAUCUUGGCAGCUAAUUGACCACAUAUCAAGGAGGAUGGAAUGAGAUACUGAGUCAAAUUUUUAGGUGGCACAAAUAAGGAGGAUGGAAGGAGAUACUAUGUCAAAUUCUUAGGUGGCAUAAAUAAGGUGAAGACAGAAAUUUGGCCAUAAGAUUUAACAAUGUGGAGUUAAUUGAAAAUUUAAAAAGGGGAUAUAUUUGGAACAGAAUAUUGGAGACAAAAGCUAGAUUAGCAAGAGGCUAGGAGUGAAUGGAAAAAGAAUAGGGGGCAUUGAAUAUAGAUAAUGUCUACAAACAGAGCAAGAAUUUCCAAGCCCUUUGUUUGAAUAUCAGGCAAACCGAGGAGCAGAAUUAUAGUAUUAUAUGAUAAAAAUACUUCACUUCUGGGUGCCGAUAUAACUGAGUUCUAAAAGACAGCGAUACCAUUAUUCUUGAACUCUUUGUCCUGAUGGAUGUUUCAAACCAUGUGGGAUGCCAAGAAUGCAAUUUGAACAUGCUUCCACAAGAUACCAAGAAAAUCCAAAAACUGUGACCAAGCAUUUGCAUUUUUGUCUUUUUCAUAUACAUUGCCUCCUGCUUUAUAGCUGCUUCAAGAGUAAAUCAAAAGAAAAGAACUUGAAUUGCUCAUUCUUGCCUAUCCCUGAAAACUCCACUGCAUGUUCUGACCAAUGUCAGGUCUCUCCUUAGCGAGCAAG
rnacentral:lncRNA from 1 species